GUGUUCCUCGGGGGGCAGCAGUGGGGGAUAUUGCACAAUGGGGGGAACCCUGAUGCAGCGACGCCGCGUGGGUGAAGGAGUGCUUCGGCAUGUAAAGCCCUAUCGGCAGGGAAGAAGCAAGACGGUACCUGACUAAGAAGCCCCGGCUAACUACGUGCCAGCAGCCGCGGUAAUACGUAGGGGGCGAGCGUUAUCCGGAUUCACUGGGGGUAAAGGGAGCGUAGACGGCCAUGCAAGCCAGGGGUGAAAGCCCGGGGCCCAACCCCGGGACUGCCCUUGGAACUGGGCGGCUAGAGGGCGGGGGG
rnacentral:rRNA from 1 species